rnacentral:rRNA from 1 species
GUCGAACGCUGGCGGCGUGCUUAACACAUGCAAGUCGAACGAGACGAUUGAAAGCUUGCUUUCGAAAGUCGAGUGGCAAACGGGUGAGUAACGCGUAGACAACCUGCCUUUGAGAUGGGGACAACAGUUCGAAAGGACUGCUAAUACCGAAUGUUGUAUAUUUUCCACAUGGAAGAUAUAUUAAAGAUGGCCUCUAUUUAUAAGCUACCGCUCAAAGAUGGGUCUGCGUCUGAUUAGCUAGUUGGUGGGGUAACGGCCUACCAAGGCGACGAUCAGUAGCCGGUCUGAGAGGACGAACGGCCACAUUGGGACUGAGACACGGCCCAGACUCCUACGGGAGGCAGCAGUGGGGAAUCUUCCACAAUGGACGAAAGUCUGAUGGAGCAACGCCGCGUGAGUGAAGAAGGGUUUCGGCUCGUAAAGCUCUGUUGUCGGGGACGAAUGUGCAGUAUUUGAAUAAAGUACUGUAAUGACGGUACCUGACGAGGAAGCCACGGCUAACUACGUGCCAGCAGCAGCCGCAG